CCUUUACUAUAGCUUGACACUGAACAUUGAGCCUUGAUGUGUAGGAUAGGUGGGAGGCUUUGAAGUGUGGACGCCAGUCUGCAUGGAGCCGACCUUGAAAUACCACCCUUUAAUGUUUGAUGUUCUAACGUGGACCCGUGAUCCGGGUUGCGGACAGUGUCUGGUGGGUAGUUUGACUGGGGCGGUCUCCUCCUAAAGAGUAACGGAGGAGCACGAAGGUUGGCUAAUCCUGGUCGGACAUCAGGAGGUUAGUGCAAUGGCAUAAGCCAGCUUGACUGCGAGCGUGACGGCGCGAGCAGGUGCGAAAGCAGGUCAUAGUGAUCCGGUGGUUCUGAAUGGAAGGGCCAUCGCUCAACGGAUAAAAGGUACUCCGGGGAUAACAGGCUGAUACCGCCCAAGAGUUCAUAUCGACGGCGGUGUUUGGCACCUCGAUGUCGGCUCAUCACAUCCUGGGGCUGAAGUAGGUCCCAAGGGUAUGGCUGUUCGCCAUUUAAAGUGGUACGCGAGCUGGGUUUAGAACGUCGUGAGACAGUUCGGUCCCUAUCUGCCGUGGGCGCUGGAGAACUGAGGGGGGCUGCUCCUAGUACGAGAGGACCGGAGUGGACGCAUCACUGGUGUUCGGGUUGUCAUGCCAAUGGCACUGCCCGGUAGCUAAAUGCGGAAGAGAUAAGUGCUGAAAGCAUCUAAGCACGAAACUUGCCCCGAGAUGAGUUCUCCCUGAGACUUAGAGUCUCCUGAAGGAACGUUGAAGACGACGACGUUGAUAGGCCGGGUGUGUAAGCGCAGCGAUGCGUUGAGCUAACCGGUACUAAUGAACCGUGAGGCUUAACCUUACAACGCCGAAG
rnacentral:rRNA from 2 species